GACGAACGCUGGCGGCGUGCUUAACACAUGCAAGUCGAACGCUGAAGCUCAGCUUUUGUUGGGUGGAUGAGUGGCGAACGGGUGAGUAACACGUGAGUAACCUGCCUCCUUCUUUGGGAUAACGCCCGGAAACGGGUGCUAAUACUGGAUAUUCACUGGUCUUCGCAUGGGGGUUGGUGGAAAGGGUUUUUCUGGUGGGGGAUGGGCUCGCGGCCUAUCAGCUUGUUGGUGGGGUGAUGGCCUACCAAGGCUUUGACGGGUAGCCGGCCUGAGAGGGUGACCGGUCACAUUGGGGCUGCGAUACGGCCCAGACUCCUACGGGAGGCAGCAGUGGGGAGUAUUGAACAAUGGGCGCAAGCCUGAUGCAGCGACGCCGCGUGAGGGAUGGCGGCCUUCGGGUUGUGAACCUCUUUCGCUCAUGGUCAAGCCGCAACAAUGGUUGUGGUGAGGUUAGUGGGUAAAGAAGCGCCGGCUAACUACGUA
rnacentral:rRNA from 1 species